ensembl:lncRNA
GCCGGUGAGGGCGUCCUGUGUCCCACUGAACCCGUCUGCAUGCAGGUCACCGCCUGUGUUCCUACUGCAAGGACAUCUGAUUUCAAGGAGAUGCAAUCUGAAUCGUGUUGUUUUUGUCUUUUACUUGCUACCACGAGAAGGCCACACAAAAGAAAAGGCAGGGAGAUUGCAUAUAAAACCCCCACAGAAAACAGCGUCUGUCCAGUGGUUUCUGCUGCCAAAACCGACUCCACCGCGACCGCUGUGCGUGUGUGUGUUUGUAUUGUGUGUGUGUGUGUGCGAUCGAAGGUCAGAGGGAGUGACACAUUUUGAUUUCUGGUAAAACUGACCAUCGGGUUCGGCGAAAACAUGUCAAGAAUUUCCCCCGAAUACCAAAAAAGAAGAAGAAAAAGAAACCUAUUUUUUUUACAGAGACACUUUUUUCUGCUGACGAUGGCAGAUAUUCUGAAUAACAGUGUUUGUGUUGAGUCGACCGUUUGCCGUGGAAUCUAUUUAAACUGUUUCUUGGCCUAAAUUCUCCGCGGUUGUCUGGCAACAUCGCGUUUACGACAAGAAUCCAGGGGGUCACCGCUCCCUGCCAGGAAAUAGUCUGUCCCACAGCCCUCUUCUCAUUUUCCCCUUUGGUUUUUGCAUAAAUGCAAAUGGUGUUUGCAGGCGGGCCUGAGGCUGCUGCAGGCUGCAGGGUUGAUGCAUUUCUUUGAGGCAAUAAUACUCAACUAAGAGAGGAAAGAAAGAAUCUAACAGCGUAAUCACACUUGAGCCCCGUGAGCAUUGAAAGCCACAAUAGCCUGCAGUUACUAUUUCACGCCUGCCUUUCAUUCAAGGACUUGGGAGGUGAAAAACAUCUCUUUAACGUGUCUCUUCACUCUCGGUCUGAUCCAGCGUGUAAGCGUUGAAGCAGAACGUCUCCGAAAAUGUGUCGAGGCUUCUCCUCAUUUAGUGAAUAACUCGGAAUUGUAUUUAGGUCCAUUUUCAAAACCAGUCUUCGUGGUUUUGCCGUCCAGAGUAAGAUGCAGAUGAUCCGCCACCCUUCUGCUGUGCAGAACUAACUAGUCCACCAAGUGGAGGAGUCGGAGCUGUGGGAGCGAAACACUUCCGGCAGAUCAAGUAUUAAUCCCGCGAAAGAACAACAAGCUGCGAUGAGCGACAGACCUCCGACACGCACUGCCGGGUAUUUGAUUAUUGCAGCGCUGAAAGGU